rnacentral:rRNA from 1 species
AUUGAACGCUGGCGGCAUGCCUUACACAUGCAAGUCGAACGGCAGCACGGGUGCUUGCACCUGGUGGCGAGUGGCGAACGGGUGAGUAAUACAUCGGAACAUGUCCUGUAGUGGGGGAUAGCCCGGCGAAAGCCGGAUUAAUACCGCAUACGAUCUACGGAUGAAAGCGGGGGCCCUUCGGGCCUCGCGCUAUAGGGUUGGCCGAUGGCUGAUUAGCUAGUUGGUGGGGUAAAGGCCUACCAAGGCGACGAUCAGUAGCUGGUCUGAGAGGACGACCAGCCACACUGGGACUGAGACACGGCCCAGACUCCUACGGGAGGCAGCAGUGGGGAAUUUUGGACAAUGGGCGAAAGCCUGAUCCAGCAAUGCCGCGUGUGUGAGGAAGGCCUUCGGGUUGUAAAGCACUUUUGUCCGGAAAGAAAUCCUUGGCCCUAAUACGGUCGGGGGAUGACGGUACCGGAAGAAUAAGCACCGGCUAACUACGUG